AACCCAUGGUGAGGGCAUCUUAGCUAAAAGUCCUUGUAUCUCUUCCAUGUAUCGUAGAGUGUUUCUAAAUCCAUCUGCACAAAAGAGGAGAUAUCAUUACGUAAUUGGCU
rfam:Gossypium arboreum cultivar AKA8401 contig_32712_3, whole genome shotgun sequence.